UAAUGCCGUUACGGCGUUCUAUGCCGUCGCGGCUUUAAUGCCGUCGCGGCGGCAUGGAACGCCGUAACGGCUUUC